rnacentral:lncRNA from 1 species
CCCCAACAAUUUGUUGUUAUAUACAAAUAGAAUUAUUAUACCGAGAACGUUUGUUCUUAAAAUCAUAUUUAUACUAUCUCAAUGCAUCAGGCAACACUUAAGAACAAGUCAUUGCCCUCGUUCUUUCCACUCUCCUUUUAAUUUAAGUGCUUUCAUCCAAAAUGUUGUGAUAAGUUGACAACGUUAAUGUUAAAAAUAAUUAUUGGUAUUUGAUUAGCAUAUACAACAACAUCGUUGGCUGAAUUAUGAAAUAAAACAUAGUGAGAUCGGCAAUCUUAUUUAUAGGCCAUCAUUAUCAAAUAGACAAUGAAGGCUUAUUCGAUAAAACAUUUAAACUUAGCUAAAGGGAAAUUCUAAGUUUUUCAUUACACUGCCUUCACCGGUAUAUUUUUAAAAAACCUCAAAACAUAUUUAGCGUUAGAUUAUUAACACAUCUGUCAUUACUUUUUGCUCAUUUUGAUUUGUUUUUAUAAUAUUACUCUUACAAUAAUAUUUCUUUUUUUGAC